rnacentral:rRNA from 1 species
GUGCCAGCAGCCGCGGUAAUACGUAGGGUGCGAGCGUUAAUCGGAAUUACUGGGCGUAAAGCGUGCGCAGGCGGUUUGCUAAGACCGAUGUGAAAUCCCCGGGCUCAACCUGGGAACUGCAUUGGUGACUGGCAGGCUAGAGUAUGGCAGAGGGGGGUAGAAUUCCACGUGUAGCAGUGAAAUGCGUAGAGAUGUGGAGGAAUACCGAUGGCGAAGGCAGCCCCCUGGGCCAAUACUGACGCUCAUGCACGAAAGCGUGGGGAGCAAACAGGAUUAGAUAUCCUUGGUAGUCC